CCUACGGGGGGCAGCAGUGGGGAAUAUUGCACAAUGGGGAAAACCCUGAUGCAGCGACGCCGCGUGAGCGAUGAAGUAUUUCGGUAUGUAAAGCUCUAUUAGCAGGGAAGAAAAUGACGGCACCUGAUUAAGAAGCCCCGCUAACUAAGUGCCAGCCGCCGCGGGAAUACGUAGGGGGGAAGCGUUAUCCGGAUUUACUGGGUGUAAAGGGAGGGUAGGCGGGGGUGCAAGCCAGAUGUGAAAGCCCGGGGCUCAACCCCGAGACUGCAUUUGAAACUGUGCUGCUAGAGUGUCGGAGAGGCAGGCGGAAUUCCUAGUGUAGCGGUGAAAUGCGUAGAUAUUAGGAGGAACACCAGUGGCGAAGGCGGCCUGCUGGACGAUGACUGACGUUGAGGCGCGAAAGCGUGGGGAGCAAACAGGAUUAGAUACCCUUGUAGUC
rnacentral:rRNA from 1 species